UCCACACAGGGGAUAUGGCAUCUGCCUGGAGCCAUCCUGACUCUGACUGCAUCAGUUUGUCCCUUAGGGACUGAAUCCCAACUGAACACCAGUGAUGCUAAUUUUGUGAAGAUCCAUUUAUUUAUUGGUCAUAUCCCUCCUGCAUAGCAUUGCCUGGGAUUCCCUGGUACAGAAAGCAGCUCAGUGUAAGAGCACAGGCUCUACAUGAUCCUCGGAAAACAGUCCCACUUGCUGACAGGACAGUGAAAGUAACGUAGAGGCUGCACUGACUUAUCAGUGAAAAGGCUGCACAUCAUUGGUGAGGGAUGAAAGACAAAUUGGACUGUUGGAACCCUGGAUGGAACCCGUGACUCUUGGAACCCUACUUUAUUGGAUAUCAAAAGUGCAAUGCUGGAGCCUUGAUCUACAGGAUCAGAAACAAGACUUGCCUGGCACUGAGACAUUACCCUCCAAAAAACCAUCCAAACAGCCUGGAAUUUACCAGGAGCUUCCUGGAAAGGAGAACUUUAAGAACAAGAACAGAAAAAAAGCCUGGUAAAAGCUGUAACUGGCUCUGCCUGUCUGUGCUAUGACAGCCAACAAUAUCACCUGCUGAUGAUUUACAGAUUCCUGGGAGAUGUGUUGUUGAGUCUCAAAGAACUGGAACAAGAACAACUCGCUCAAAUUACUUCCCGUGAAACAGCAUAACGUAUCCACCCGCUUCAUGCUCUCCUAAUUUAGGACACGUGUAGUCUGUAAUGAUGAACUGGCCAACUGAUUAUGUUGCUGUAAAUCUCGUUCCCCACCUUACAAAACACCCCUGACUGACCCCUUUUUCACGAUAGCUCAGUGCAGCAUUUCCAGUCCACUUCUUGAGAGGGAGAAAAAUAGCACUAGCCACUUGCAAAAGCACUUCUCCAGAGAGAAAAAUGCAACAUUUUGUUGUUUUUAUUUCACUGGGCAGCCUUUUCAAGUUCUGUGACCCACUUUUGCUUCCCUUUAAAUUGUGACCAGUAUUUAUUUAUCCCUCUUUGAACACAAUAACUUAAUUAAGAAACUAAUCAGCAGUGUUGAACUGAUCUUUCAACUCACCCCUAUCACUGAAGGAAAUUUAUGAAUGCAUAAUACAAGAAAGAUCCUAUUAUCUAAAAAGCUUUCUACUAAAAGCAUUUGGCAUCUAAAAAGUAAGACUUGAAAUUCUGUGCUAAAUUUAUAAUGUAAAUAUGUGGACAUUAUUUAUAGAGUCUGAAAUGUACCCCAACUGAAUCUAACAAAUUUUUUCUGGAUUAUUUAUUAAAAAUAAAAUUGUCACACGUUUAAAGAA